UUAGGGUCCAGCCUAAAACUGUGGCCCAUCACAGAGCAAGGAUUAGUUCUUUUAUCUGCUAACUGCAUGGCUGGAGCUUUUCAACUCCCAGUCAUCUCUGUUUCUCUGCUGUCAUCUCUUUGCAAUGGAAGCAAGCGCUGCAGGGUUUCUGUGUAAAAGCUUUCAGCUUAGAGGCUGAUGAGAAACGCUGGCACCCAAGCCUUCAAGAGGAGAAUAUUUUUCCUUUCAAAAUGAUGCAGGACAUAUUAAGCUUCAGCAACAAACAUGGGCCAGGAUAACAACAAAAACCAGCCAUAUAUGCAAUCCACAGACUAAUAUUUCAGCUGGGGGAUAGCUGAGGAUGUUUAGGGACAAAACAAACCUCUGCAGUGUCUUUGCACCCUUUUAUGCAAAUGAUGGAGGCAGAACCAAAAAACGGGGGUGUUGGGCAUUUGUGGGAAGAAAUAGAGAAGGGGAGCCUCUUAUCUCUCUAAAGACUAGCAGACAGUCUAAUUCAAAGCUCGUCCUCCUUAUAGAAGAUGAUGGAAGAGAAACUGAGAAAGAGGCGGUGCUGCUGCUUUGAGCCCACUCAGACCAGCGAACGGGAAGGACGCAGGAACAGAGGUGACACUCUGGGAUUUUAAGCAGGAAAAUUACAGCCACACUGCACCUCUGUCUGUCUGUCCGGGAGGAACAAAUCAAUAUCACUCAACAAGGCUACAUCCAUCCAUGGAGGUCUGGCCGGACAUAUCCGCUUCGAGGUGGCCGAGCUGCUGCCUGACUCAGCCCGCCUGACACAAACUCAGGGGCCCGAUGAAAACUCAAGUAUUUAAACGAGCUCAGCAGCACAAA